rnacentral:rRNA from 1 species
GGUCCUACGGGAGCAGCAGUGGGGGAUAUUGCACAAUGGGGGGAACCCUGAUGCAGCGACGCCGCGUGGGUGAAGAAGCGCCUCGGCGCGUAAAGCCCUGUCAGCAGGGAAGAAAAUGACGGUACCUGAGGAGGAAGCCACGGCUAACUACGUGCCAGCAGCCGCGGUAAUACGUAGGUGGCGAGCGUUGUCCGGAUUUACUGGGCGUAAAGGGAGCGUAGGCGGACUUUUAAGUGAGAUGUGAAAUACUCGGGCUCAACUUGAGUGCUGCAUUUCAAACUGGAAGUCUAGAGUGCAGGAGAGGG